rnacentral:rRNA from 1 species
GAUGAACGCUAGCGGCAGGCUUAAUACAUGCAAGUCGAGGGGCAGCGCGGGUAGCAAUACCUGGCGGCGACCGGCAAACGGGUGCGGAACACGUACGCAACCUUCCCAAAACUGGGGAAUAGCCCUCCGAAAGGAGGAUUAAUACCCCGUAACAUAACGAAGUGGCAUCACUUUGUUAUUAUAGUUCCGACGGUUUUGGAUGGGCGUGCGCCUGAUUAGGUAGUUGGCGGGGUAACGGCCCACCAAGCCUGCGAUCAGUAACUGGUGUGAGAGCACGACCAGUCACACGGGCACUGAGACACGGGCCCGACUCCUACGGGAGGCAGCAGUAAGGAAUAUUGGUCAAUGGACGCAAGUCUGAACCAGCCAUGCCGCGUGAAGGAUGAAGGUCCUCUGGAUUGUAAACUUCUUUUAUAUGGGACGAAAAAAGGGCAUUCUUGCUCACUUGACGGUACCAUAGGAAUAAGCACCGGCUAACUCCGUGCCAGCAGCCGCGGUAAU